UACGUAGGGGGCAAGCGUUGUCCGGAAUCAUUGGGCGUAAAGCGCGCGUAGGCGGCUCGGAAAGUCGGUCGUGAAAUGCCGGGGCUCAACCCCGGGACUGCGUCCGAUACUCUCGAGCUGGAGGCAGGUAGGGGAGAUCGGAAUUCCUGGUGUAGCGGUGAAAUGCGCAGAUAUCAGGAGGAACACCGGUGGCGAAGGCGGAUCUCUGGGCCUUGCCUGACGCUGAGGCGCGAAAGCUAGGGGAGCGAACAGG
rnacentral:rRNA from 1 species